AAACGUAGGAGGCGAGCGUUAUCCGGAUUUACUGGGCGUAAAGCGCGUGCAGGCGGUUCGGCGAGUUGGAUGUGAAAGCUCCUGGCUUAACUGGGAGAGGUCGUUCAAUACUGCCGGACUCGAGAGUGGUAGAGGGAGGUGGAAUUCCGCAUGUAGUGGUGAAAUGCGUAGAUAUGCGGAGGAACACCAGUGGCGAAAGCGGCCUCCUGGCCCAUUUCUGACGCUCAGACGCGAAAGCUAGGGGAGCAAACGGGAUUAGAGACCCCGGUAGUCCUAGCUGUAAACGAUGUGAACUUGGCGUCGGCGGCUUCAAAACCGUCGGUGCCGUAGCCAACGCGAUAAGUUCACCGCCUGGGGACUACGGCCGCAAGGUUAAG
rnacentral:rRNA from 1 species